rnacentral:rRNA from 1 species
CGUAGGGACCAAGCGUUGUUCGGAUUUAGUUGGGCGUAAGGGGCUCGUAGGCGGUUUGUCGCGUCGGGAGUGAAAUCAUCUGGCUUAACUGGGUGCUUGCUUUCGAUACGGGCAGACUAGAGGUAUGCAGGGGAGAACGGAAUUCCUGGUGUAGCGGUGAAAUGCGCAGAUAUCAGGAGGAACACCGGUGGCGAAGGCGGUUCUCUGGGCAUGAUCUGACGCUGAGGAGCGAAAGUGUGGGGAGCGAACAGGAUUAGAUACCCUGGUAGUCCACACCGUAAACGUUGGGCGCUAGGUGUGGGAUCCAUUCCACGGGUUCCGUGCCGCAGCUAACGCAUUAAGCGCCCCGCCUGGGGAGUACGGCCGCAAGGCUA